UACAGAGGGUGCGAGCGUUGUUCGGAUUUAUUGGGCGUAAAGCGCGUGUAGGCGGUUUCUUAAGUCUGAUGUGAAAGCCCCGGGCUCAACCCGGGAAGUGCAUUGGAUACUGGGAGACUUGAAUACGGGAGAGGGUAGUGGAAUUCCUAGUGUAGGAGUGAAAUCCGUAGAUAUUAGGAGGAACACCGGUGGCGAAGGCGGCUACCUGGACCGAUAUUGACGCUGAGACGCGAAAGCGUGGGGAGCAAACAAG
rnacentral:rRNA from 1 species